rnacentral:rRNA from 1 species
UCCUACGGGAGGCAGCAGUGGGGAAUAUUGGACAAUGGGCGAAAGCCUGAUCCAGCCAUGCCGCGUGUGUGAAGAAGGUCUUCGGAUUGUAAAGCACUUUAAGUUGGGAGGAAGGGCAGUAAAUUAAUACUUUGCUGUUUUGACGUUACCGACAGAAUAAGCACCGGCUAACUCCGUGCCAGCAGCCGCGGUAAUACAA